UACUACUUGUGUUUUCACUGAUUCAAUAUCAUACGUGUGACAAGACUUUCAACAACAGUUAAAAAUAUGCAACGCAUAUUGAGUGUACAACUGAGUAGAAGUGAUAUUGCUACAUCAGAAUUUGUUAGUAAACGAUUGUGUUGUAGUAUAAUUCUCACAGUGGCGUUUUUCUCUCUAAUCGGAGGUAUGCUAUUUGAUAAUAACACACUAGAUGUUCGUCUUAGACAACGAGCUCACAUUUAUUUGAAUUUUGGUAACAAUGCUAUGGAAAGGAAACGUUCUGCUUUCUAUUUUAGCAGAACUUUGUAUUGAUAAUGCUAUUUCCCAAGCACCUUUUUUUUGCCGUUUUUUCUUGGGCAGGUUUGUUGCCAACCAAACAACAGUGCGACUGCAAAACAGUUACCAAGAUAUUUGUGGAAAAGUGAACGCUUUAAAUCGUAAUUUACAAAACGCAUUUCGGGAAGGUACUAACGAAAUUGGUAAACAAAACAAAUUUUGCGAACUCAAAUUUUUGAAAUGCAACUUCACACAAAUUGGACAAAAUAGCAGUGGACAACUAGCAGUAUCGGAUUACUUGAGAGUUCUGAACAGUUGUUUUAGUAAUAGAUGAAUAAUUUUCAUUUAGACAAAUUAAUCAAUAUUUCAAAAACAAUUUUUUCAGUAAACGAAUAUUUUUAUUGAAAAUGUACUUGUUAAACAGUAUUCACAAACAAACAUUUUCAAAAAGCUAUAUUGAUUUCUAAGUAUUCCUUUGUUGCAACUUUGAUAAGUUUCAAGGAAUUUUAUAUUGUAAUAUUUUAUUAAAAACAAUACUCAAAACGUA